CCUACGGGAGGCAGCAGUGAGGAAUAUUGGUCAAUGGGCGCAAGCCUGACCCAGCAACGCCGCGUGAAGGAAGAAGGCCCUCGGGUUGUAAACUUCUUUUAUUCGGGACGCAACUAAUGACGGUACUAACGGAAUAAGCCCCGGCUAACUACGCGCCAGCAGCCGCGGGAAUACGUCGGGGGCAAGCGUUGUUCGGGAUGACUGGGCGUAAAGGGUGUGGAGGUGGUUUGAUAAGUUAGAGUGGUAAUACCCAGGGCUUAACGCGGGUGCUGCAUCUAAAACUGUUAGACUAGAGUACUGGAGAGGAUAGUGGAAUUCCUAGUGUAGCGGUGGAAUGCGUAGAUAUUAGGAGGAACAGCAGUGGCGAAGGCGACUAUCUGGACAGCAACUGACACUGAGGCACGAAAGCGUGGGGAGCAAACAGGAUUAGAUACCCUAGUAGUC
rnacentral:rRNA from 1 species